rnacentral:rRNA from 1 species
GGGGAAUAUUGCGCAAUGGGGGGAACCCUGACGCAGCCAUGCCGCGUGAAUGAAGAAGGCCUUCGGGUUGUAAAGUUCUUUCGGUAUUGAGGAAGGUUGAUGUGUUAAUAGUACAUCAAAUUGACGUUAAAUACAGAAGAAGCACCGGCUAACUCCGUGCCAGCAGCCGCGGUAAUACGGAGGGUGCGAGCGUUAAUCGGAAUAACUGGGCGUAAAGGGCACGCAGGCGGUUAUUUAAGUGAGGUGUGAAAGCCCCGGGCUUAACCUGGGAAUUGCAUUUCAGACUGGGUAACUAGAGUACUUUAGGGAGGGGUAGAAUUCCACGUGUAGCGGUGAAAUGCGUAGAGAUGUGGAGGAAUACCGAAGGCGAAGGCAGCCCCUUGGGAAUGUACUGACGCUCAUGUGCGAAAGCGUGGGGAGCAAACAGGAUUAGAUACCCUGGUAGUCCACGCUGUAAACGCUGUCGAUUUGGGGGUUGGGGUUUAACUCUGGCGCCCGUAGCUAACGUGAUAAAUCGACCGCCUGGGGAGUACGGCCGCAAGGUUA